rnacentral:lncRNA from 1 species
CUAGAUGAAUGGCGGACGCAUAAACCGAGAACACAUGAUAAACCAAAACUCCACCAGAACAAGCUCAAUACCUUCUCACGUCAACUUAAGGUUGGAGAUAAAGUCUUAUUAGAUGCCGCAGAUCCUCACAUUGUCACUACCACACCGAAUGAAGAAAUCCCUCUUACGGUACUUAGCAUUUUCCCAUUCGGUAUAGUCGAGGUAAGUCAUCC